rnacentral:tRNA from 1 species
AAGGCUUUAAGUUAUAUAAACUAUCAACCUUCAAAGUUUAAAAAAUCAUUAGAGGUAAGUCUUA